ACUGUUCGCCAGAGAACUACAAGCAUAAAGCUAGAAACUCCAAGGACUUGGCGGUGCUCCACACCAACCUAGAGGAGCCUGUCCUAUAAUCGAUAUUCCACGAUCUACCUUACCACUUUUUGAAAUUCAGCCUAUAUACCGCCGCCGUCAGCCUACCUUAUGAAAGAAGAAGAGUGAGCAAAAAAGUUACUAAUUAAAACGUCAGGUCAAGGUGUAGCACACAAAGUGGAAGAGAUGGGCUACACUCUCUUUGAAAGAGAAUACGGGAUAGCACAAUGAAACAGUGCCAUAAGGUGGAUUUAGUAGUAAGGAGGGUAAGAGUCCCCACCUAAAACCAGCCCUGGAGCGCGCACACACCGCCCGUUCACCCCUC
rnacentral:rRNA from 1 species